AAGUCGUAACAAGGUCUCCGUUGGUGAACCAGCGGAGGGAUCAUUACCGAGUACUUAACUCAUAACCCUUUGUGAACCUUUAUAACCUGUUGCUUCGGCGGCGCGUGCCCCCCGGGGCCGCGCCCGCCGGUACCAUCAGAAUCUCUGUUUGAACCCGACGAUACAUCUGAGUGUUCUAAGCGAACUGUUAAAACUUUCAACAACGGAUCUCUUGGCUCCAGCAUCGAUGAAGAACGCAGCGAAACGCGAUAUGUAAUGUGAAUUGCAGAAUUCAGUGAAUCAUCGAAUCUUUGAACGCACAUGGCGCCUUCCAGUAUCCUGGGAGGCAUGCCUGUCCGAGCGUCGUUUCAACCCUCGAGCCCCCGUGGCCCGGCGUUGGGGAUCCGCCCAGGCGGUCCCCGAAAACCAGUGGCGGACCUUCCAGGCCCUUCUUUGCGUAGUAGCAUCAGCCUCGCAUCGGGAGCCGGCGGGAUUCCAGCCUCUAAACCCCCCCAAAAGUCCGCUCCGGCGGCACCAAGGUUGACCUCGGAUCAGGUAGGAAUACCCGCUGAACUUAA
rnacentral:rRNA from 1 species